rnacentral:rRNA from 1 species
GGCAAACGGGUGAGUAUAAUGUGGGUAUCUGCCUUUUGGUUUGGAAUAACAUGAGGAAACUUGUGCUAAUACCGGAUAAGCCUUCACAGGGAAAGUUUUAUACGCCGAAAGAUGAGCCCGCACUUGAUUAGUUUGUUGGUGAGGUAAUGGCUCACCAAGACAAUUAUCAAUAGCUGGUCUGAGAGGACGAUCAGCCACAUUGGGACUGAGACACGGCCCAGACUCCUACGGGAGGCAGCAGUAAGGAAUCUUGCACAAUGGGGGAAACCCUGAUGCAGCGAUGCCGCGUGAGUGAAGAAGGCCCUUGGGUUGUAAAACUCUUUCGUCGGGGAAGAAAAUGACUGUACCCGAAUAAGAAGGUCCGGCUAACUUCGUGCCAGCAGCCGCGGUAAUACGAAGGGACCUAGCGUAGUUCGGAAUUACUGGGCUUAAAGAGCUCGCAGGUGGUUAAAAUAGUUGAUGGUGAAAUCCCAAGGCUCAACCUUGGAACUGCCAUCAAAACUUUUUAGCUAGAGUGUGAUAGAGGAAAGUGGAAUUUCUAGUGUAGAGGUGAAAUUCGUAGAUAUUAGAAAGAACACCAAAUGCGAAGGCAACUUUCUGGGUCACUACUGACACUGAGGAGCGAAAGCAUGGGUAG